CACACACAAACACACGUAAAGGCAUUCCGUUGCCAUCAUUUGCUAUCAAGAGAAGUUCUAGUAUAAUUCCACACAAAAAGAUCCCCUAAGAUGAAAGCGAUCAUUUUAACACUGUUUGUGGGACUAUUCCUGCAUAGCUGUAAAGGGUGUCCGGCUAUUUUACAGAGUAGCCCCUGCUUCUGUGCCUGUUACGAUAUGUUAACAUAUUGCCAUGCGAACUGUGAGGGCAUGUCAUACAGUGCGCGUAAUAUGUGCCAGACAUCGUGUGGAGACAAUUAUCAAUGCUGCAACAGACUCUGCCUGCCUCUUCCAGGCUAACUGCUGAUGGACUGACAAUGAAAACCUAUUCGGAAUAAUGUUUAAGACCAAAUUAUAUGAACCAUGAACGACAGAUUUAAGAAAUGUUAUAAUAACAAUAACAUAUGUACAAUUACAAUGGUUUUAUUUUCUUUUGAAAUACAUUUGCAUUGUUCAAUGUU